GAAAAUUUAGUUAAAUAAUAACAUUAACUUGUCAAGUUAAAAUUACUAUAAAUGUAAUUUUCU
rnacentral:tRNA from 1 species